UUCCUGACUGGUCAUAUAUAACACUCCUUUGAUGCCAGGUGCAAAUCCCCAACUGUUCCUAGGACAUGGAACAAUGAAUGUAGAGCAGAAAAAGUAAGGCAGCACUCCGGUCUUC